rnacentral:rRNA from 1 species
GACGAACGCUGGCGUCGUGCCUAACACAUGCAAGUCGAACGGAGAUACGAUUUCGGUUGUAUCUUAGUGGCGAACGGGUGAGUAACGCGUGAGCAACCUGACUCUUAGAGGGGGAUAACACUCGGAAACGAGUGCUAAUACCGCAUAAGACCACGACAUGGCAUCAUGACGAGGUCAAAGGAGCAAUCCGCUGGGAGAGGGGCUCGCGUCCCAUUAGAUAGAUGGCGGGGUAACGGCCCACCAUGUCCGCGAUGGGUAGCCGAGCUGAGAGGCUGAUCGGCCACACUGGAACUGAGACACGGUCCAGACUCCUACGGGAGGCAGCAGUGGGGAAUAUUGGGCAAUGGGCGCAAGCCUGACCCAGCAACGCCGCGUGAGGGAAGAAGGCUUUCGGGUUGUAAACCUCUGUCCUUGGUGACGAAACAAAUGACGGUAGCCAAGGAGGAAGCCCCGGCUAACUACGUGCCAGCAGCCGCCGUAA